UGAAGCCUCGUGUGGUGGAAACCACUUGGUGGCGCAGUCCGGGCUCCGGCGCUUGGCGAACCCUCGCAGAAAUUUACACAAUUAAUCUUCCUGAUGGGAGUCGCAAGUGGACCCACUCAAGGAGUGAGGAGCCCCAGCUGGUAGAACGUUUGUGCUGAGGAGGGGCAGCGGGUUCUUUGUGUUGUGUUCUACAUGAGAGGAUCAAUUAGGCCGGAUAGUACAACGCAUCCUGGCGUCGUUUGAUUGUAAGGAACUCCUGCGGUGCAGCGGUUGCCGCGACGUUGCGUUUUUAGCACCAGAUGGGCUGGCUGGGGGACUUAUUCAUGUUAUGUUCUCGGCAAAUUUUACAAUAGUGCAAAUCCUGGUAUUGCAAAUCGGUUAAACCUAUGCUCAUCAUGAUUGGGGUUCCAGUUCCCGCAGCGGCUGUAAUAUUGAGCACGAAAUUGUAAAACGACCCGUUCGAGCGUAUGGCCUAAUGUAGCGCAAAGCCUCCCAGCCGUUUCGCUGACGGUUGCUGGCUGGAUGUUGCUGAUUAGGUACUGGAAGGCAGGGCCCUCACCUGCAGGCACUGCAAUGUAUCCGUGAUCAUCCGAUGUUUUUGAAAAGGUAGGCAGGCUGGCCCGGUGAUGCCGUGUUGACACGUGCGCGAGAUUCCGCAAGUGUCAGUGGGGUUUGAGGCGAAAAGGCAUUUCCCUUAUCAAGUAUAUACCACGCCAACCUUGUUCUUUGCCUAAGCAGUUUUCAAGAUAGUUUGUCGGUUACGCCAAACGGAUCUGGAUGAAGCGUUCUUCCAAAGACAACUUCACCCUUCCCAAGGCGUC
rnacentral:lncRNA from 1 species